rnacentral:rRNA from 1 species
UGCGUAGGCGGUUUGUUAAGUCCGCUGUGAAAGCCCUGGGCUCAACCUGGGAAUUGCAGUGGAUACUGGCAAGCUAGAGUGCGGUAGAGGAUGGUGGAAUUCCCGGUGUAGCGGUGAAAUGCGUAGAGAUCGGGAGGAACACCCGUGGCGAAGGCGGCCAUCUGGACCAGCACUGACGCUGAGGCACGAAAGCGUGGGGAGCAAACAGGAUUAGAUACCCUGGUAGUCCACGCCCUAAACGAUGCGAACUGGACGUUGGGUGGACUUAGCCACUCAGUGUCGAAGCUAACGCGUUAAGUUCGCCGCCUGGGGAGUACGGUCGCAAGACUGAA